UGUCAGCUCAUGCUCACAGUGUCACAAUGU
rnacentral:piRNA from 1 species